rnacentral:lncRNA from 1 species
UCUCUUGUUUCAAAUGUCCAAGAGUGAUUUACCUCAGUUUAACCAAGAGAUGAAAUUGUAUGGCCAGGUUGUUCAGGAAGAACAAUGAAACUACUGGUUAGAAGGAGGAGGCUCAGUUGUGCAAGAGACAAGAGUAAGAAUGCAGAAGGCAGUUUUAUCUUCUUAUCUGCACCUUCAGUCUGGUCCAGAGACUAAAAAGGAAACACCAAUACUGCCUGUUCAGAGUACAUUACUUGAGUGAGAAGGGACAUACAUAGAACCUAAUGGCUGCAAGCAGCUGGCGACAAGCACAGUA